UAAUCUCCAACUACUGAACUGUGGCAACACUGAAACGUCACCUGAUUUUCGUUUGUCAUGAUUUCACUAGUUCACUGAAGCCGUCCUCAAACAAUUCGCCUGCCUCAGUCUCUUCAGUGCUGUGAUUAUAGGCCCUAGAUGUCCAAGAAGGUCCAGUUCACCUGGUGACAGUAACUGAAAAUAAGGAUGCCAAUGGAGAAGAAAAAUGGAGGCAACGUUCCAUGGACAGUGACAGGUGUCCUAGGGCCCCUUCAUCUGUGUACAGCUACCCAAGAUUUUCAAAACCAGCCUGCUGUCAGAUGAAAGUCCAGGAAGAGAAAUGAAUAAAUUAAGAACCCAGGUGAGGCUGGGGUCCUGAGCAAACCUUAAGAAGUCUUUCCUGUCUCUUUUCUAAUAAAUUCAUGUGAACUUGGGGUGUGACCAGACCUAUCUGAAAAUCUGAAUUUGUAGUGUGUGUGGCUCAU